GUGUAAGACCGCAUGCCUAUACUGCAAGUUCGAGCGGACAGAUGGGAGCUUGCUCCCUGAUGUUAGCGGCGGACGGGUGAGUAACACGUGGGUAACCUGCCUGUAAGACUGGGAUAACUCCGGGAAACCGGGGCUAAUACCGGAUGGUUGUUUGAACCGCAUGGUUCAAACAUAAAAGGUGGCUUCGGCUACCACUUACAGAUGGACCCGCGGCGCAAUAGCUAGUUGGUGAGGUAACGGCUCACCAAGGCAACGAUGCGUAGCCGACCUGAGAGGGUGAUCGGCCACACUGGGACUGAGACACGGCCCAGACUCCUACGGGAGGCAGCAGUAGGGAAUCUUCCGCAAUGGACGAAAGUCUGACGGAGCAACGCCGCGUGAGUGAUGAAGGUUUUCGGAUCGUAAAGCUCUGUUGUUAGGGAAGAACAAGUACCGUUCGAAUAGGGCGGUACCUUGACGGUACCUAACCAGAAAGCCACGGCUAACUACGUGCCAGCAGCCGCGGUAAUACGUAGGUGGCAAGCGUUGUCCGGAAUUAUUGGGCGUAAAGGGCUCGCAGGCGGUUUCUUAAGUCUGAUGUGAAAGCCCCCGGCUCAACCGGGGAGGGUCAUUGGAAACUGGGGAACUUGAGUGCAGAAGAGGAGAGUGGAAUUCCACGUGUAGCGGUGAAAUGCGUAGAGAUGUGGAGGAACACCAGUGGCGAAGGCGACUCUCUGGUCUGUAACUGACGCUGAGGAGCGAAAGCGUGGGGAGCGAACAGGAUUAGAUACCCUGGUAGUCCACGCCGUAAACGAUGAGUGCUAAUGUUUAGGGGGUUUCCGCCCCUUAGUGCUGCAGCUAACGCAUUAAGCACUCCGCCUGGGGGAGUACGGUCGCAAGACUGAAACUCAAAGGAAUUGACGGGGGCCCGCACAAUCGGUGGAGCAUGUGGUUUAAUUCGAAGCAACGCGAAGAACCUUACCAGGUCUUGACAUCCUCUGACAAUCCUAGAGAUAGGACGUCCCCUUCGGGGGCAGAGUGACAGGUGGUGCAUGGGUGUCGUCAGCUCCUGUCCUGAAAUGUUGGGGUUAAGUUCCGCUACCAACGGAAACCCUUGAUCUUAUUUGCCACCAUUCUGUGGGGCACUCUUAGGGUGACUGCCGGUGACAAACCCGAAGAAAGGGGGGGGAUGAACUUCGAAUCUAUCCAACCCCUCUUAAAACCGCGGUGUCAACACAUGGUUCCAUGGGAAGGACAAAAAACGGGCGCCAAAACCGGCCGGGUAUUUUCAUCUCCUA
rnacentral:rRNA from 1 species